rnacentral:rRNA from 1 species
CGGCGGNGGUAGUAACACGUGGGUAACCUACCUAUAAGACUGGGAUAACUUCGGGAAACCGGAGCUAAUACCGGAUAAUAUUUCGAACCGCAUGGUUCGAUAGUGAAAGGUGGUUUUGCUAUCACUUAUAGAUGGACCCGCGCCGUAUUAGCUAGUUGGUAAGGUAACGGCUUACCAAGGCGACGAUACGUAGCCGACCUGAGAGGGUGAUCGGCCACACUGGAACUGAGACACGGUCCAGACUCCUACGGGAGGCAGCAGCC